CGAACCUGCAGCAGGUUUGAGUUGAGCGCAGCGAAACAACGGAGCCGCUCGCGGCGACGGCCCGAAGGGCGAGCGAAGCGAGUCAUCCUGCACGACCCACCA
rnacentral:sRNA from 2 species